GGUGGAGUGAUCUGUCUGGUUAAUUCCGAUAACGAACGAGACUCUUCCCUGUUAAAUAGUCGGUUGGAUCUUGCGUCUAUAAAGAGUUGAGUCAUUGGGUUACGUGUUGUGUGUGUUAUUUCUCUUUCAUCCGGUCUUGUAUCGUUCUUUGUUAGGGUGUGAUGCAUGCUUCAUCUCUCAUUGUCUCACUUCAAGUCCACCGCUUACUGAUUGUCUAAGUUGGGUGCUCUCUUGGGUGUGCGUGUGUUUGGGGGUGGUGUUCUUUGGAUGCUGUCUCUGGCGCGCGUAUGCUUUUGGGGGUGUCUUUCGAGGGCUGGUAAAACUCUUCUUAGAGGGAUUCACGGUUCUGAAGCCGUAAGAAACUGAGAGCAAUAACAGGUCUGUGAUGCCCUUAGAUGUUCUGGGCCGCACGCGCGCUACAAUGCCGUGCACAACAUGUCUAUAUCCUUCUCCGAGAGGAGUGGGUAACCAUAUGAAAGCACUGACAAAUUUAUGGUAUCGAGAGUGGUGUAUAUUUUAUAUAUCGCUCUCUUUACUCGAUGGCUUGCUUGGGCCUGGGGCUUGCAAUUCUUCCCACAAACGAGGAAUGCCUAGUAGCGGCGGGUCACUGAGCC
rnacentral:rRNA from 1 species